CGGAAGGGGCCCACGUGGCCGUCGCCGAAUUCCUGCCCCCAGCCUCCACACGCGCAGCAGGGUCUAGGACGCCGGGGCCAGCCCGGUUCCGUGGUGGCCGGGUAGCGGAGUAUCCAUUGAGCUGCCAGCUGGGCAUCAGCACUUGGAUGGCAAACUCAGCAUGGGCCACCAGCAUCUUCCUCCAAGGACACUUGCAGUUGGAACCCUGUGUGGCUAGGUAAGAAGUCCGUCUACCCUGAGAACACUGUGCUGGAGAGGCCACAGGUAGACCCUCCAGAAGAAAGACCCAGCUGAGACUGUCCUGCAGCCAUCCCAGCCCAGGCGCCAGACAGGAAGGAGGAAGAAGCAGAAGGGAACCUGGGCUGGCCCUGGUCCUGCUUUGGGAUGUUUCCUGCUGAAACAACCACCUGGCCUUCACCUGUGUGCUCCAUUGACUCUUUGCUAUGAGUCAAGUGCAGCUUCUUUCCAGCCACUCCCCAGUCCCAGCAACAAUUCCUUUGGGAGAACAACCUAAGGCUGGAAAUCUUCCUGCCCAGAGUAGUGAAAGGGUCCAAGUGUAAAUACACACGGGCCUCAGAGUUUUGUAACUGUCCUGAGUCACUUCUCUUCAAGAAGACACGGCCAAGGGACAAGAGCUCCAAGUCUCAUCAGUGAGUCUGAACCCAGGUGUCCUUCAGACAUUCCUCAUUCGGGUCCUUUCCAAGUUCUCUCCACUGGGAGGAGGUUCUCCGGAUGUUUAUGCUGAUGGCAGGUCAAGGUUCAGAAGAAGAAACCGAACACGACUGGGACCCAGGUUUCGAAAUUCCCCUGUCAAACAUCAUUUCUGCCUUCUUAAUUCUUAGCUAUCCCUGACUCUUUCCUAGUUGCCUCAGAGGCCUGACAACUUGCCAUGUAUUAGUUAGAUGUUAUUUAGUU